UCAAAAAAUGAAGUAUUAAAAUAAUGACGAAAUUCCGUCAGUGUGAAUCAAGUUUCAAUCUCAAGAAAAAAAAAACACGCAGAUUCCAUUUCCACCUGGCCUGUAAUGCAUUUACAAGUAUCGACGCGGAUCAACCCCGGCCGGUUUACGUCAAUCUCUCGUAGCGCAAUGGGACAUCUGGUCGGUUGCCUAUCCGCAGGCUUCACCUCUUAUAAUGGGAAUGUGUAUCACAUAUAACGUGCUCAGGGUGCUCCCUGUGCUUUUCUGCCACGUAGUGAUUUUAUAAUAUUCAGCUGGCCUCACCACCGAUCGUCACCACUACCAUCACCCAUCACCACCACCACCACCGCCACCACCACCACCACCAUCGCUGCCACCAUCAUCGCCAAGCAGAGGGUACAUCUUGCACCCUUCUUCAUUAAAUAGCUCAAGCAUAUGAAUGGCGCGCGCGAGAGCACGGCGUUCACGGUUACGCACGGUGGACCCUUUGGCAUAUUACAAAGAAUUCAAUAAAGUUCGUAAGGAAGCCCGGAGGGAACCAGUCUCAGGCCGGAGAGAACGGGAGACGAGAGACAGAGAAAAAGAGAGAGAGAGAGAGAGAGAAAAUGUGUAAAAGAGAGCGAUAGAAUGAGAGAGAACUCCCUCUUCUUCGUGAGAACGCGCUGUACCUUAUUCUGGGCCCUAUGCACAUCAACGCGGGGAGCAAAGAGAAACCUUUUUUUUUUUUCAGGCAACAGAUAUGAAUUCGCUUAGCAAACUUUGACACAGUAUUUUAUACUGGUGUUAGAUAUUUUAGGAUAUUUUAUACUUUGAUACAUUUUAAUUGACGAUUCGGAUGUUUAAGUAUUCAAAUUUUAAGAAUUAUGAUAUUCACAUGUGCAGAAUUGCUACUUAUUUUUUCUUUUAUAUCGUAAAAGAUUUCUCUGUGACUUAUGAAAUAUGUAAGAUAACCAAAUGAUUUUCUUUUACUAAUAUCACUUAUUAUAAUUUAUCUCGACUCGUAUGUUAUCAUAAUUUUCUGUUGUGAAUUUGGCAGUAACAUAUAUAAACACGCACGCAAAGUGUUUUAUGGUUUCAACUCACUUGUUGAAACACUUCGCGAAAUUAAUUCAGAUGUAAUUUUAUCGAUCUUACAAUUGCCCGAAAUUUUUUCGAAUUCAUUCAUCGAGCACGCUCGGCGUCGCGGCACAAUCGCGGUAGGGUGAAAAUGUAUUUUCCCUUUUCACUACAGGCAGCUAGAGCUUCAACGACGUGUACGUGUGUCUGAAACGUGCAGGGCACA